GGAUUAGAUACCCUGGUAGUCCACGCCGUAAACGAUGGGUACUAGGUUUGGUGGGUCUUGACCCCCGCCGAAUCGGAGCUAACGCACUAAGUACCCCGCCUGGGAAGUACGGUCGCAAGACUAAAACUCAAAGGAAUUGACGGGGGCCCGCACAAGCGGUGGAUCAUGUGGUUUAAUUCGAAGCAACGCGAAGAACCUUACCUGGGUUUGACAUCUCCGGACCGAUAGAGAGAUCUAUUUUUAGUAGCAAUACUACCGGAUGACAGGUGCUGCAUGGCUGUCGUCAGCUCGUGCCG
rnacentral:rRNA from 1 species